rnacentral:misc_RNA from 1 species
CAUUUAACUUGCUUGUAAAAAUGGAUUGAGAUCCACUUUCAAUUACUACCAAAAUAAUAAAUAUAGAGUAAACAUCAUAAUUACAACAAAGUUUUUUUCUCAUUCAAUUACUGAAAGACAAACUAACUAAGAAGAAAGCAAUUUACUAGUAAUGAUGUCCAACAUUGACAAGAGUUGUUAACACAGAGCCAAAAGGAUGCACAGACUUCACAUCACUAUAUGUCCAAACCUCCCUUCACCCUUGGCCUAACAAUUGGGAACUCCAAAGGCUUAUUCUUAUUUAUAUGUUCCACCACCUUAGCUUGAAAAUAUUCACUGUCGCCAUUUUUGACCGUAAAGGUAAUAUAGUAAACGAAGCCUUGACAUCCACCUUCAUUAACCUUGACAAUACGGUCGACCUCAUAUUUGGUGCCAUUGUCCGUAUUGUAAUGCUCAAGUGCCUUUGCACAAUAAUCCUUCAACAUUUCAACAUUGGCAGGAGUGUCUAAGUAGUUAGUCAUGGGGUAAAUGCUAGUUAGUGGACACGAACCGGGAUAAUCCUUAAUGUCAAAUCCCUCACUCUCACGGAUCUGGUCGAAGUACCUAUCCCAAACAGCUUUAUCCGCCUUUUUUUCACCGGGAUCUUCAGGGCAAUAUAAAUCUUCAAUUGCUUCUUGGAUAUCCCAGUCGGGAAGGCUUGUAUCUGAAAGAGAGUAUGAUAAAGGUUGCUCACUUUCGCAAUCGCUGGAUUCUCCAUCUUCUUCAUCCACUUUUUGUUUCUUCAACGACGACGGAUAAUCCGAUUCGCUUGAGGAAUCUGAUUCACUUGAGGAUCCUCCGUAUUGGCACGGCAGAGGCGAUUGUGGUGGCGGCGGCGGUGGCGGCGAUAACAUGAUGAGAACGAUCAGAGAAUAGGGUAACAAUAG